AAUCAGCUACUACGCAAGCCACCACAACGAUGUCUACGACGGAACCCACCACCUCAAUAGUUGAUCCUAUCACAACGACUCCAUGUACCGACCAAGCACGUAGCUGUGCAUUCUGGGCGAGAGUCGGUGAGUGUGAAAAGAACCCGAAAUACAUGCUCAAGAACUGCAGGCUAAGCUGUGGAGUAUGCAACGAAUUCGGAGAUGACGAGUGAAAUGCAGCACCCUGUCUUAACGGAGCAACUUGUACACCGACAGAG